AUUAAAUUCUCGCUAAAAAUUCUGCUUAUACGGAUAUCUAUCGUAACUGUGACAUAUCUAUCAUCACUGUCUACUGAGUGUAUAAGGAUUUCCAGGAUGUUUGGAACACAAGUAUAGAAUGUUUUAUUAUUUUUUUUUUUUGAAAAAUGCAUGCAGCUAAGAGUCCCAUCUUGAGAGAAACCUGGGUAUCAGACAUCGAACAGACUGCUUAUUUUGCCCUCGAUGACAGAAGACUGUUUUGAACUUGGAAACCCCUCAUGUUACGUAACAAAUUGUGCAGUCGGCCAUAUUGAAACGGAAAUUAAAGGAUAUUUCAUUCUUUCGAAAAUGAUAAACUCGUGAAAGACAUGCUGGGAGUAUGCUACAAUAACUAGGUUAUUUUCGCCUUUCUACACUUGCAGACAGAGUUUCGCCCCAUUUUGAAUUCGCCCAGACAUAGUUGUGUAAAAAGAGAAAUAUGAGAGAAAACAGUUUCGCCCACUCUUAAAUUCGCCCAGUGACAACGAGGGCGAAAGGGACGAAAAUAAAACGGUGGCGAAUAUUUCACUGUAUACAGUAAUUUAACACACAUUUAAAGAUGAUAUUGAUAAAGAAAUUACACAUGGAAUAUUAAACAUGCACGUAGAAAAUGCUUAUCAACUUGAUAGAAUUUGUCUAAUCAUUACCAGUAGCAAAGUUUUAUAGAAAUAAGCCUAAUUUCCCAUCAUACAUUAAGUUCCAAGUGGAGAAGGCACAUUGCUGGUAACGUCUCUUUCAUUUAUCUUCCGCAGCAACGGUUCCUGAAUGUCAAUUCAAGGUUUGCUUUACAAGACUGGACCAGGGAUUGCACACAUUUUCUAUACCUGACUCCCAAGUGUAAUUACGAAUGGAUUUGAUUUUCUAUCACUAGAAGUAGAAUGGUAUUCUAGUUCCUAGAGGGUGGCCUCAUCUAAUCCAGUUUACAAAUAAUCUGUAUUGCCAACAGAAUUUUGCAAUGCACCGUGAAGCAGGAAUGUAAAUGUUCUAAAAUUAAACAAAAACUGAACUAACAGU